rnacentral:rRNA from 1 species
UAGGGAAUCUUCCGCAAUGGGCGAAAGCCUGACGGAGCAACGCCGCGUGAGUGAUGAAGGUCUUCGGAUCGUAAAACUCUGUUAUUAGGGAAGAACAUAUGUGUAAGUAACUGUGCACAUCUUGACGGUACCUAAUCAGAAAGCCACGGCUAACUACGUGCCAGCAGCCGCGGUAAUACGUAGGUGGCAAGCGUUAUCCGGAAUUAUUGGGCGUAAAGCGCGCGUAGGCGGUUUUUUAAGUCUGAUGUGAAAGCCCACGGCUCAACCGUGGAGGGUCAUUGGAAACUGGAAAACUUGAGUGCAGAAGAGGAAAGUGGAAUUCCAUGUGUAGUGGUGAAAUGCGCAGAGAUAUGGAGGAACACCAGUGGCGAAGGCGACUUUCUGGUCUGUAACUGACGCUGAUGUGCGAAAGCGUGGGGAUCAAACAGGAUUAGAUACCCUGGUAGUCCACGCCGUAAACGAUGAGUGCUAAGUGUUAGGGGGUUUCCGCCCCUUAGUGCUGCAGCUAACGCAUUAAGCACUCCGCCUGGGGAGUACGACCGCAAGGUUG